AGGUCUGACUACAAGCAAUCAGAAAUUCUGUAAAUCCUAUUCAGCCUGCUGCUCCAUCCUGAGUGAUACAGAUAUUAUUCCACCGGUUUUAUCACCAAGCAGAGGAUUCAUCAGGCAGAACUGGGACUCCGGGCUGCCUUCCCCACUUCCUUCUGAUUCCUUCAAGUAUCUGAGCUGGCAUGACAUAGAGGAACAUGAUGUUCAAGGAAAUCAGCUUCACUGUCCCCGAGUGAGAAAAGGGCCUUCAGAAGAAGAGCUGUUUUUCAGAGGAGAAGAACAUACGUUGAAAAAAAGGAAACUAGUAACUGACACAGAGAAGUGGCAAAAGAAACUUCAAGAGAACUGGGAAAACUGUGCUGUAAAACUUUCUCAUUAAUUCUUUGUACUGUGAUUGUAAAUAAGCCAAAUAAAUAAUGCACUGGCUGCUCCUUCCAGUUAGUAGUUUUAAAGCUCAGGUUGGUACCAUGACACUUUAAACCAGAAGGUUUUUACAAGCUGGAAGGAACACUGGAAUAUGUUGUAAUUUGAGUUCUGACCCAGUGAGAAGAGUUAGCUCCUAUCUUUUGAUGAAGCCUCAUUUGUGCUUGGGCGUAUAAAACUAGUGAAAUUCUUUGCCUUCUCUUAGUACCUUCCUCAAAAAAUGAUGAUAAGCAAAUGUUAGAGAAUGGUGUAGUUCAAUUUCAGUUCUCCUCCUCUGUCCUCAUACCAGCUUAUGCAAUUCUUUUGGCUGGAGGUACCACAUCAUUGCAGGUUCUCACCAGGAAUAAGUGAUGACCUCCAAGAUCAAGGAGGAAGCCAUGUAGGAACUUACCUUUAAGCCAUGAUCACUUAGUCCUGCUUUGUCCACCCAGCACACACAGGCAUCCCCAAUCAAAGAGGAAGGAGGAGGCUGGAAGAAAAGUUCACAUGCUUGAGAGAUGUUUUCUGGCAUCAAAGAACAACGUGGGAGAAAAUACAAAAUAAUGAAGCAAAGAAAAUGGGAAGUUAUGGAAAAGACUGUUGGAGAGUGGGUGGAGGAAGGAGACCAGUGGAUCAGAUGACGAUAGAGAGAGCUGGAGUUCAGGAAACACUCCCAUCUGCGGCCCCACACAGAUAACUGCUAUCUGAUUGGCAAAACUCCAGCUUUUUGUAUCAUUACCACUUUAGGUGACCCUUACUUUCAUUGCACUGUGCAGUGCAUCACUAUGAUUCAAAGGCAAAUUUGGCACCACCAUUUGUUUUUAAUCGGUGGAAGAGUAGCAUAAUAAAAUCGAUUCACCUUUUAACUAAUUCUGACAUUGAAAAGAUUUAAUAAUGUAGUUACUAGAAAGCAAGAAAAAAAUGUAAGUAAUUUCUAUUACUUUUCUCUCCCCAGGAGCUGAACCUCUCAUUUCAGGACCUGGGUGAUCUUUACCAGGUAGAAAACUUCAGGAGGAUUCUCCAAAGAUUAAUUCGUGUGGAAAAACUGUGGUUGGUGGACAAUUCCUUGACAGACCUAAGUGCCAUACGGUUGCCAAGAUGCAGAGAACUAAAUGUCAAUAAAAACUACUUUACAUCCUUCAAACAGCUGCCAAAAAUACCUCAGAUUCAGCACUUGUCACUGGCUGAAAAUAACAUUAUGACACUAAGUGGAAUAUCAGACUUGAGACACACUCCACUCGAAUCCCUUAUACUCAAGAGGAAUCCCUGUGAGUUUCAAGAAAGCUACAGGCAACAUGUAUUCUUCAGUUUGCCAAAUCUGAAAAUACUGGAUGGUGUCCCAAAACUACCAGAGGACUUUUCACCCCCAGCUACCAGAUUUUUUCCCAAAAUGUGUACUGUGCUCUAGCACUGUGUUCUUGUGGCAUCACAACUGUGCUCGAAUCAUUUUAUUUAAAGAAUCAAUAAAUGCUGCAC